rnacentral:ncRNA from 2 species
ACACCAUCCAGAGCGGCUGAGAGACCUGGCUCGUUGACGCCGCAGCAACCACUUCCUUAUGACGGAGGCCGGUGCUACCGCCAGGACCGAUGGAGA